GGGUUCGUAGCUCAGUUGGUAGAGCAGUUGACUCUUAAUCAAUUGGUCGGGAGUUCGAAUCUCCCCGAACCCA
rnacentral:tRNA from 1 species